rnacentral:rRNA from 1 species
UGGGGAAUAUUGCACAAUGGGCGAAAGCCUGAUGCAGCAACGCCGCGUGAGUGAUGAAGGUCUUCGGAUUGUAAAGCUCUGUCUUUUGGGACGAUAAUGACGGUACCAAAGAAGGAAGCCACGGCUAACUACGUGCCAGCAGCCGCGGUAAUACGUAGGUGGCGAGCGUUGUCCGGAUUUACUGGGCGUAAAGGGUGCGUAGGCGGAUGUUUAAGUGAGAUGUGAAAUACCCGGGCUUAACUUGGGUGCUGCAUUUCAAACUGGAUAUCUAGAGUGCAGGAGAGGAGAAUGGAAUUCCUAGUGUAGCGGUGAAAUGCGUAGAGAUUAGGAAGAACACCAGUGGCGAAGGCGAUUCUCUGGACUGUAACUGACGCUGAGGCACGAAAGCGUGGGUAGCAAACAGGAUUAGAUACCCUGGUAGUCCACGCCGUAAACGAUGAGUACUAGGUGUAGGAGGUAUCGACCCCUUCUGUGCCGCAGUAAACACAUUAAGUACUCCGCCUGGGAAGUACGAUCGCAAGAUUAAAACUCUAAAGUGAAUUGAC